AGGAGGAACAACCCCAGUGGCUGCAGCAGCUCUGGAGCCCUGGAGUCAGCCCCCAUAGUAACUCCAGAGCUCUCCGUCUGCAGGGCCUGGAGGCUCCGGGGCAGG
rnacentral:pre_miRNA from 1 species